rnacentral:rRNA from 1 species
GGCGCCCUACGGGAGGCAGCAGUGGGGAAUAUUGGGCAAUGGGCGCAAGCCUGACCCAGCAACGCCGCGUGAAGGAAGAAGGCUUUCGGGUUGUAAACUUCUUUUCUCAGGGACGAAGAAAGUGACGGUACCUGAGGAAUAAGCCACGGCUAACUACGUGCCAGCAGCCGCGGUAAUACGUAGGUGGCAAGCGUUAUCCGGAUUUAUUGGGUGUAAAGGGCGUGUAGGCGGGAACGCAAGGCAGAUGUGAAAACUCA